GACGAACGCUGGCGGCGUGCUUAACACAUGCAAGUCGAACGGAAAGGCCCUGCUUUUGUGGGGUGCUCGAGUGGCGAACGGGUGAGUAACACGUGAGUAACCUGCCCUUGACUUUGGGAUAACUUCAGGAAACUGGGGCUAAUACCGGAUAGGAGCUCCUGCUGCAUGGUGGGGGUUGGAAAGUUUCGGCGGUUGGGGAUGGACUCGCGGCUUAUCAGCUUGUUGGUGGGGUAGUGGCUUACCAAGGCUUUGACGGGUAGCCGGCCUGAGAGGGUGACCGGCCACAAUGGGACUGAGAUACGGACCAGAGUCCUACGGGAGGCAGCAGUGGGGAAUAUUGCACAAUGGGCGGAAGCCUGAUGCAGCAACGCCGCGUGCGGGAUGACGGCCUUCGGGUUGUAAACCGCUUUCGCCUGUGACGAAGCGUGAGUGACGGUAAUGGGUAAAGAAGCACCGGCUAACUACGUG
rnacentral:rRNA from 1 species